rnacentral:rRNA from 1 species
ACGGCGAGUGAAGCAGCAAUAGCUCAAAUUUGAAAUCUGGCGUCUUCGGCGUCCGAGUUGUAAUUUGUAGAGGAUGCUUCUGAGUAGCCACCGACCUAAGUUCCUUGGAACAGGACGUCAUAGAGGGUGAGAAUCCCGUAUGCGGUCGGAAAGGCGCUCUACACGUAGCUCCUUCGACGAGUCGAGUUGUUUGGGAAUGCAGCUCUAAAUGGGAGGUAAAUUUCUUCUAAAGCUAAAUAUUGGCCAGAGACCGAUAGCGCACAAGUAGAGUGAUCGAAAGAUGAAAAGCACUUUGGAAAGAGAGUUAAAAAGCACGUGAAAUUGUUGAAAGGGAAGGGAUUGCAACCAGACUUGCUCGCGGUGUUCCGCCGGUCUUCUG